GACGAACGCUGGCGGCGCGCUUAACACAUGCAAGUCGAGCGACGAAAGGUCCUUUCGGGACCCUGAAAGCGGCGAACGGGUGAGUAACACGUGGGUAACCCACCCUCGGUUUCGGGAUAGCCCGGGGAAACCCGGAUUAAUACCGAAUAGCCUCUCCGGUCUUCGGGCUGGUGAGAAAAGGUAGCUUCGGCCUCCGACCGAGGACGGGCCCGCGGCCGAUUAGCUUGUUGGUGAGGUAACGGCUCACCAAGGCGACGAUCGGUAGCUGGCUGAGAGGACGAUCAGCCACACUGGGACUGAGACACGGCCCAGACUCCUACGGGAGGCAGCAGUGGGAAUCUUGCGCAAUGGGCGAAAGCCUGACGCAGCGACGCCGCGUGCGGGAAGAAGGCCUUAGGGUUGUAAACCGCUUUCAGGAGGGACGAAGCCACUCGGGUUAACAGCCCAGAGGGUGACGGUACCUCCAGAAGAAGCCCCGGCUAACUACGUGCCAGCCG
rnacentral:rRNA from 1 species